UACGUAGGGGGCAAGCGUUGUCCGGAUUUAUUGGGCGUAAAGAGCUCGUAGGCGGUUUGUCGCGUCUGCUGUGAAAACUCGGGGCUUUACCCUGGGCCUGCAGUGGGUACGGGCAGACUAGAGUGCGGUAGGGGAGACUGGAAUUCCUGGUGUAGCGGUGAAAUGCGCAGAUAUCAGGAAGAACACCUAUGGCGAAGGCAGCUCUCUGGGACGGUACUGACGCUGAGACGCGAAAGCGUGGGGAGCGAACAGG
rnacentral:rRNA from 1 species